AUUGAACGCUGGCGGCAGGCCUAACACAUGCAAGUCGAGCGAGCGGCGGACGGGUGAGUAAUGUCUGGGAAACUGCCUGAUGGAGGGGGAUAACUACUGGAAACGGUAGCUAAUUCCGCAUACCAUCAGAUGUGCCCAGAUGGGAUUAGCUGUUAGGUGGGGUAACGGCUCACCUAGGCGACGAUCCCUAGCUGGUCUGAUAGGAUGACCAGCCAAACGGGAACGGAGAAACGGUCAAGACUCCUACGGGAGGCAGAAGUGGGGAAUAUGGCAAAAGGGGCGCAAGCCUGAUGCAGCCAUGCCGGGUGUGUGAAGAAGGCCUUCGGGUUGUAAAGCACUUUCAGCGGGGAGGCGUUACCCGAAGAAGAAGCACCGGCUAACUCCGUGCCAGCAGCCGCGGUAAUAC
rnacentral:rRNA from 1 species